rnacentral:sRNA from 1 species
ACUGUCUUAGUACGAUGGCCACGGAGCCGUC